GAGACUUCUUUAGUACCGCAGCUAACGCGUGAAGUUCGCCGCCUGGGGAGUACGGUCGCAAGAUUAAAACUCAAAGGAAUUGACGGGGACCCGCACAAGCGGUGGAUGAUGUGGAUUAAUUCGAUGCAACGCGAAAAACCUUACCUACCCUUGACAUGCCUGGAAUCCUGAAGAGAUUUGGGAGUGCCCGAAAGGGAACCGGGACACAGGUGCUGCAUGGCUGUCGUCAGCUCGUGUCGUGAGAUGUUGGGUUAAGUCCCGCAACGAGCGCAACCCUUGUCGCUAAUUGCCAUCAUUUAGUUGGGCACUUUAGCGAGACUGCCGGUGACAAACCGGAGGAAGGUGGGGAUGACGUCAAGUCCUCAUGGCCCUUAUGGGUAGGGCUUCACACGUCAUACAAUGGUCGGUACAGAGGGUCGCCAACCCGCGAGGGGGAGCCAAUCCCAGAAAGCCGAUCGUAGUCCGGAUUGGAGUCUGCAACUCGACUCCAUGAAGUCGGAAUCGCUAGUAAUCGUGGAUCAGCAUGCCACGGUGAAUACGUUCCCGGGUCUUGUACACACCGCCCGUCACACCAUGGGAGUGGGUUUCACCAGAAGUAGUUAGCCUAACCGCAAGGGGGGCGAUUACCAC
rnacentral:rRNA from 1 species